AAUGGUGACUGAACAAGGCUGACAGAAUAGACAUUCCUUCCAGAAUUUGAACCAUUUUGAACCAUAAUAUCUAAAACAUGGAGCAACGUAUUAGAUGUGCAAAGAUAGUUUUUGUGAUGCCAUUCAUCAAAAUGUAAUGUUACUGGUUUUCUCAAUUGUUUACUGGGUAGUGUUUUCAUGACUGUGUAGUUUUGUGUCUUUAUGAUAUAAAGCACUAUGAACUGUCUUGUUGCUGAAAUGUGAUAUACAAAUAAUCUUGAAUGAUAAUUAAAACUGAAGAGCGUGUUUACUUGCAGAGCAUCUGAUUAAAUCAGUCAAUCCAGGUGUGGUGGUGCAGGUAGUCACACCUUUAAACUGAGAGUCAUUAGUUAAACCUGUCACUCAAUGAGCAGUGAAACUACUCCGAAAGUCAUUCGCUUGUCACUUGUUACAUGAAGAUCAAAACACCUCAACAUAUGUCAUUAAAAGUGUGAACGAUCAUGUGGUCAACAGGUUAAAGCAUCAGACAACAAGUACAAAGGACAAGGGUUCAAAUCCUGGAAAGAAUGUCUAUUUUGUUAGCCUCAAUCAGUCACUAUUGACAGCAGAAAAGAUAAAUGCGCCAUGAGAAACUUCUAAAGUGUAGAAGGUCAUGUGGUUAAGGCAUCAGACCUCAGAUGCAAAGAAUGUGGUUUCAGAUCUUGGUCUGCAAAUGAAGAGGUUUUUCAUAAUUAGUUUGGUAUUUAAUGGGAUUUUUAGAUUAAAACACACAACGUUCAUCAUAAUCAGUCAAAAUUGAGGAUUGAUGUUGAGAAGAACAUGAUUUCUGCUUAAUUUUGUUGUUUUUUUUAUCAAUCUAUUUUUACUCCAGGAAUGCACCGAUUUCAAAGUUUUUUGCUGAUACUGCCGAUAUUCCUGUUUUGCUACCUUUCAAGCAAGUGUAGUUUUGACUGCAAAUAUAUCAGUAAACUUGAAAUAAGGGAUCCUUAUUUAGCUAGAGCAAGAAAAAAUAAUAAUAAAAAACAAUUAAGCUUCAUUUAAAAAAAUAUACAACUGUCAAACAAAGAUGAUUUUAUUUUUACCAGAAUGUUUCUCUACCGCCCUCUUGUGGUCACAGCUGAUAAUGACCCAUCUAGCAAGCAAAUGCUCAGAUCACGUUCGGCGUCCAAACAACAAACAACAAUGAGAAGAAUGAUGGAUGAAAAAGCCAAAUUUCUAAACAAAUCAAAUCAUAAAAACGCUGAUGAAUGCAGAAUACAGACCACUUCUGUACAACCAAGAAACUUUUCAUGUCUGGAGAAACCGUUGAAGCUCCAUCAGAACCCAAACUGCAGCAAAUUUAGAUCUGAACCAGAACCUGGACUCGACUCAAACCAGCCGACACGCUCCUGCUGGAAACCUCGCCCUCCAGGUCUGCUGGUGGCGCAUUCAUGUUUCACUGGAAAACGCCAGACUCUCUGACAAGAUGACAAAUUUCUCCAGAAACCUCCAGGAUUCCCUGAACUCGUUUGUCCAGACCACAACUUUGUCAUGUUGACACAGAGUGCUGCAUUAGACACCAGACAGAUAAAACGCUGUGUUUUUAAAUCAAUCAGAUUAAUGUGUUUCUGCUCCACUUGGGGCUGUAUAUUUACACUUUUAAAACUUGUUGGGAGUUUUUCAGUUCUUACAGCAUCAAAUCAGAAGCUGAGUUGAUGCUUCUGAGUACGAUUCGCAUAUUUAAAAGCGAAUCGUGUCAAAUUUACAGCACAAGGCUCACUUAUAGAAGUGAGGAUUUUUCUGUUCUAGUUUGAAAAUGACAUGAGAAAAGAACUGGGAACAAAAACAAGA